GUCGAGGGGCAUCAGUUUGGUUUGCUUGCAAACCAAAGCUGGCGACCGGCGCACGGGUGAGUAACACGUAUCCAACCUGCCUCAUACUCGGGGAUAGCCUUUCGAAAGAAAGAUUAAUAUCCGAUAGCAUAUAUUUCCCGCAUGGGUUUUAUAUUAAAGAAAUUCGGUAUGAGAUGGGGAUGCGUUCCAUUAGUUUGUUGGCGGGGUAACGGCCCACCAAGACUACGAUGGAUAGGGGUUCUGAGAGGAAGGUCCCCCACAUUGGAACUGAGACACGGUCCAAACUCCUACGGGAGGCAGCAGUGAGGAAUAUUGGUCAAUGGACGCGAGUCUGAACCAGCCAAGUAGCGUGAAGGAUGACUGCCCUAUGGGUUGUAAACUUCUUUUAUACGGGAAUAAAGUGAGCCACGUGUGGCUUUUUGUAUGUACCGUAUGAAUAAGGAUCGGCUAACUCCGUGCCAGCAGCCGCGGUAAUACGGAGGAUCCGAGCGUUAUCCGGAUUUAUUGGGUUUAAAGGGAGCGUAGGCGGGUUGUUAAGUCAGUUGUGAAAGUUUGCGGCUCAACCGUAAAAUUGCAGUUGAUACUGGCGACCUUGAGUGCAACAGAGGUAGGCGGAAUUCGUGGUGUA
rnacentral:rRNA from 1 species